rnacentral:rRNA from 1 species
AGAGCGAACGCUGGCGGCAGGCCUAACACAUGCAAGUCGAGCGCCCGUAGCAAUACGGGAGCGGCAGACGGGAUAGUAACACGUGGGAACGCGCCCCUCGGUUCGGAAUAACUCAGGGAAACUUGAGCUAAUACCGGAUACGCCCUUACGGGGAAAGAUUUAUUGCCGAAGGAACGGCCCGCGUCCGAUUAGCUAGUUGGUGAGGUAAUGGCUCACCAAGGCGACGAUCGGUAGCUGGUCUGAGAGGAUGACCAGCAUCACUGGGACUGAGACACGGCCCAGACUCCUACGGGAGGCAGCAGUGGGGAAUAUUGGACAAUGGGCGCAAGCCUGAUCCAGCCAUGCCGCGUGGAUGAUGAAGGCCUUAGGGUUGUAAAGUCCUUUUAACGGGGAAGAUAAUGACGGUACCGUAGAAUAAGCCCGGCUAACUUCGCGCCAGCAGCCGC